UACGGAGGGUGCAAGCGUUAUCCGGAUUCACUGGGGUUAAAGGGUGCGUAGGUGGCCAACUAAGUCAGACGUGAAAUCCCUCGGCUUAACCGGGGAACUGCGUCUGAUACUGGAUGGCUUGAGUGUGGGAGAGGGAUGCGGAAUUCCAGGUGUAGCGGUGAAAUGCGUAGAUAUCUGGAGGAACACCGGUGGCGAAGGCGGCAUCCUGGACCAUUACUGACACUGAAUAGCGAAAGCCAGGGGAGCAAACGGG
rnacentral:rRNA from 1 species